GAUGAACGCUGGCGGCGUGCUUAACACAUGCAAGUCGAACGGGAAACAUUUUAUUGAAGCUUCGGCAGAUUUAGAUUGUUUCUAGUGGCGGACGGGUGAGUAACGCGUGGGUAACCUGCCUUAUACCGGGGGAUAACAGCCAGAAAUGACUGCUAAUACCGCAUAAGCGCACAGAACCGCAUGGUUCCGUGUGAAAAACUCCGGUGGUAUAAGAUGGACCCGCGUUGGAUUAGCUAGUUGGCAGGGCAGCGGCCUACCAAGGCGACGAUCCAUAGCCGGCCUGAGAGGGUGAACGGCCACAUUGGGACUGAGACACGGCCCAGACUCCUACGGGAGGCAGCAGUGGGGAAUAUUGCACAAUGGGGGAAACCCUGAUGCAGCGACGCCGCGUGAAGGAAGAAGUAUCUCGGUAUGUAAACUUCUAUCAGCAGGGAAGAUAAUGACGGUACCUGACUAAGAAGCCCCGGCUAACUACGUGCCAGCAGCCGCGGUAAUACGUAGGGGGCAAGCGUUAUCCGGAUUUACUGGGUGUAAAGGGAGCGUAGACGGCGCAGCAAGUCUGAUGUGAAAGGCAGGGGCUUAACCCCCUGGACUGCAUUGGAAACUGCUGUGCUUGAGUGCCGGAGGGGUAAGCGGAAUUCCUAGUGUAGCGGUGAAAUGCGUAGAUAUUAGGAGGAACACCAGUGGCGAAGG
rnacentral:rRNA from 1 species